rnacentral:rRNA from 1 species
AUUGAACGCUGGCGGAAUGCUUUACACAUGCAAGUCGAACGGCAGCACGGACUUCGGUCUGGUGGCGAGUGGCGAACGGGUGAGUAAUGUAUCGGAACGUGCCCAGUCGUGGGGGAUAACGUAGUGAAAAUUACGCUAAUACCGCAUACGAUCUAUGGAUGAAAGCGGGGGAUCGCAAGACCUCGCGCGAUUGGAGCGGCCGAUAUCAGAUUAGGUAGUUGGUGGGGUAAAGGCCCACCAAGCCAACGAUCUGUAGCUGGUCUGAGAGGACGACCAGCCACACUGGAACUGAGACACGGUCCAGACUCCUACGGGAGGCAGCAGUGGGGAAUUUUGGACAAUGGGCGAAAGCCUGAUCCAGCCAUUCCGCGUGCAGGAUGAAGGCCCUCGGGUUGUAAACUGCUUUUGUACAGAGCGAAAAGGUUUCUACUAAUACUAGGAGCUCAUGACGGUACUGUAAAAAUAAGCACCGGCUAACUACGUGCCAGCAGCCGCAGUAA